rnacentral:rRNA from 1 species
CGCCGAUACACUCGGCAUACUUGUUUCAGUGUGCGCUACCAAACAAUCCUAAGCAUAAUGUGGGAGAAGUUCUCCUAUUAAGUACAUGCUCCUCGUAGCAGUCACAAUUCUUUGUGAGUUACAAGAAGAUCUGUGCCUUAUUAGCACCUGAAAUCAAGUAAGAUAAC